GGAUCAUUUCCUAGGGUUAAAUGCAAAUGAGUCCUCACAGUCUUCUUGUCUAGCCACUUGGAGAGAUGGAAGCUAUUGUUUUCCUCUAUAUGUACAAUUUUUACAAGGUGUUGCUUGGUUGGGAAAUGAGAUAUUCGAGCAUUAAUUAUUCCGGGAUUAGUAUCAUAGCUUCAAGGAAUGGAUUACUCUUGCUUGUGGCAUCUGCUACAACCUGAAUUUGUGAGUGAGUAUAAUAAUUGUUGAUUCUUCUUUAACAUUUUGCUCGUAUUCUUCUGCUUAAAUCUUUUGUUUUUUUAGUUUUCUUGGUUUUGAAGGGGUACUUAGUUCUUAGAUGUAGGUUGUUCAAUCUAUGUUGCUCGGACUCUUCAAAAAUGUCAACUGGUGCAGCAUCGGAAGUGAAGAGUCCACACAACUUAGUGUUCGAUUGUAUUGGUGAUUAGCUAAUUCAUGUUGUCCAGUUUCUUAUUUCAAAUGAACUCCGAGACUAAUUUGUCAAUGGGGCAAUCAGUCUUUGGAUUUUUAGACAACUAAUCGAAAAACUUUCAUGUAGAAAUCCAUGAUGGCUA